CCGCGAAUUCGCCCUUAGAGUUUGAUCAUGGCUCAGAUUGAACGCUGGCGGCAGGCCUAACACAUGCAAGUCGAGCGGUAGCACAGGAGAGCUUGCUCUCCGGGUGACGAGCGGCGGACGGGUGAGUAAUGUCUGGGAAACUGCCCGAUGGAGGGGGAUAACCACUGGAAACGGUGGCUAAUACCGCAUAACGUCUACGGACCAAAGAGGGGGACCUUCGGGCCUCUUGCCAUCGGAUGUGCCCAGAUGGGAUUACCUAGUAGGUGGGGUAAC
rnacentral:rRNA from 1 species